CAAUAUGGCAUGCAAAAUGUCAUCUUCAUCAUUGAGUAUAAUGCUGUGAUAGACGGGAUCGAAACAAAUAUUUUUCAAAAUACCAAUUGUACCGCCACGUCGCACAAUUGAUUCUUCGUAUGAGGCAAAAGGUUUUAUUAUCGUUAUCUUUGUGUACCACAUCCUCGCAUCAUAACUGUUUGGUCAUCCACAAAAGCAGAUCCUUUCUGUUGAAGAGCUCCUUCAGUACUUGAAUUGGACCAACGUGAGCUCUUUCCACUACAGUGGUUUGUUCUCCAGGUGCCGAUAAAAAGCAAAUCUCGGUCGUUUUGAAGGACCUCAAUGGAAAAUGUUAAGAAAAUGAGAUCCAUCAACAUUCCAAGGAUAAAUGAUGCAGACCGUGGAGCAACUUUUUUUUCAUUGUACUUUGGGUCACGUGAUAUUUUAUGUACUAAUUUUUGUAAAGAAAAAUUAAAAUACAUUUUUUUAUAAACAUUAAGUACCAAUAAACAUUGUAUAAAAUUUCUUUAUAUUUA